rnacentral:rRNA from 1 species
GCUCAGGAUGAACGCUGGCGGCAUGCUUAACACAUGCAAGUUGAAGAUUCUACUAGAAAUAGUAGGGUAGUGACGGACGGGUGAGUAAUGUGUAAGAAUCUGCGUUAGGAGAGGGACAACAGUUGGAAACGUCUGCUAAUACCUCAUAAUGCUAUAAAGUUAAGAAAAUUCGCCUAAGCAUGAGCUUGCAUCUGAUUAGCUUGUUGGUGAGGUAAUGGCUUACAAGGCAAUGAUCAGUAGCUGAUUUGAGAAGAUGAUCAGCCACACUGGAAUUGAGAACGAACAGACUUCUACGGAAGGCAGCAGUGAGGAAUUUUCCGCAAUGGGCGCAAGCCUGACGAGCAAUGCCGCGUGAAGGAAGAAGGCCUUUGGGUUGUAAACUUCUUUUCUCAUAGAAGAAAAAUGACGGUAUAUGAGGAAUAAGCAUCGGCUAAUUCCGUGCCAGCAGCCGCGGUAAU